CCAAUCGAACUCGGAGAUAGCUGGUUCUCCCCGAAAUAGCUUUAGGGCUAGCCUCGAUUUAGAUUAUUGGGGGUAGAGCACUGAAUGGGCUAGGGGGCCACAAAGCUUACUGAACCCUAUCAAACUGCGAAUACCAAUUAAUUGAUGAUCGGGAGUCAGACAGUGAGAGAUAAGUUCCAUUGUCGAAAGGGAAACAGCCCAGAUCCACGACUAAGGUCCCAAAAUACACGUUAAGUGGAAAAGGAUGUGCAGUUGCACAGACAACCAGGAUGUUGGCUUAGAAGCAGCCACUCAUUCAAAGAGUGCGUAAUAGCUCACUGGUCGAGUGAAUGUGCGCCGAAAAUAUACCGGGGCUAAACGUGAUACCGAAGUCUGGGGAUCAAGAAAUUGAUCGGUAGGGGAGCAACGCAUACGGACAGAAGCAGAAGCGGGAGCGACUGUGGACUGUAUGGGAGAGAGAAUGCCGGCAUGAGUAGCGAGAGCAAAGUGAGAAUCUUUGCCGUCGAAAGCCUAAGGUUUCCUGAGGAAGGCUCGUCCUCUCAGGGUAAGUCGGGACCUAAGCCGAGGACAAGAGUCGUAGGCGAUGGACAACAGGUUGAUAUUCCUGUACCGUACUUAAGCGUUUGACUGAAGCAGUGACACAGAAGGAUAGACAGACCGGGGGAAUGGUAGACUCCGGCCAAGCAGUGAGGCUGACAUGUAGUGAAGUACGCAUGUUAAGGCUGGGCUGUGAUGGGGACUGAAGAUUAGUAGGGAAGCUGUUGAAUUCACACUGGCGAGAAAAGCUGCUAAGGAGCGAGAGUAUGCCCGUACCGCAAACCGACACAGGUAGGCGAGGAGAGAAUCCUAAGACGAGCGGGAGAACCCUUGUUAAGGAACUCGGCAAAAUGACUCCGUAACUUAGGGAGAAGGAGUGCCUCGAGAGAGGCCGCAGAGAAUAGGCCCAAGCGACUGUUUACCAAAAACACAGGUCUGUGCGAAGUAGAGAUACGACGUAUACGGGCUGACGCCUGCCCAGUGCUGGAAGGUUAAGGGGAAAUGUCAGGGCAACCGAAGCAUGGAACUUAAGCCCCGGUGAACGGCGGCCGUAACUAUAACGGUCCUAAGGUAGCGAAAUUCCUUGUCGGGU
rnacentral:rRNA from 1 species